rnacentral:rRNA from 1 species
GGUGAAGAUAUGAACGAGGUCACACCUGUUCCCAUCCCGAACACAGAAGUUAAGCUCGUUAAAGCCGAAGAUAGUAAUGGGUUGCCCAUUGUGAAAAUAGGAGU